GAAGGGGGCUAGCGUUGCUCGGAAUCACUGGGCGUAAAGGGCGCGUAGGCGGCCGAUUAAGUCGGGGGUGAAAGCCUGUGGCUCAACCACAGAAUUGCCUUCGAUACUGGUUGGCUUGAGACCGGAAGAGGACAGCGGAACUGCGAGUGUAGAGGUGAAAUUCGUAGAUAUUCGCAAGAACACCAGUGGCGAAGGCGGCUGUCUGGUCCGGUUCUGACGCUGAGGCGUGAAAGCGUGGGGGAGCAAACAGGAUUAGAUACCCUGGUAGUCCACGCCGUAAACGAUGAAUGCCCAGCCGUUGGCCUGCUUGCAGGUCAGUGGCGCCGCUAACGCAUUAAGCAUUCCGCCUGGGGAGUACGGUCGCAAGAUUA
rnacentral:rRNA from 1 species